rnacentral:rRNA from 1 species
UACGUAGGGUGCGAGCGUUGUCCGGAAUUAUUGGGCGUAAAGAGCUCGUAGGCGGUUUGUCGCGUCGGGAGUGAAAACACGGGGCUUAACCCCGUGCCUGCUUCCGAUACGGGCAGACUAGAGGUAUGCAGGGGAGAACGGAAUUCCUGGUGUAGCGGUGAAAUGCGCAGAUAUCAGGAGGAACACCGGUGGCGAAGGCGGUUCUCUGGGCAUUACCUGACGCUGAGGAGCGAAAGUGUGGGGAGCGAACAGG